GCGGAAGUGGCGGAAUUGGUAGACGCACCAGAUUUAGGUUACCAGAUUUAGGUUCUGGCGCCGUAAGGUGUGAGAGUUCAAGUCUCUCCUUCCGCACCA
rnacentral:tRNA from 1 species